rnacentral:rRNA from 1 species
UGCCAGCAGCCGCGGUAACACAGAGGGUGCGAGCGUUAAUCGGAAUUACUGGGCGUAAAGGGCGCGUAGGCGGCCUGGUAAGUCGGAUGUGAAAGCCCUGGGCUUAACCUGGGAAUUGCAUUCGAUACUGCCAAGCUAGAGUACAGUAGAGGAAAGCGGAAUUCCGGGUGUAGCGGUGAAAUGCGUAGAUAUCCGGAGGAACAUCAGUGGCGAAGGCGGCUUUCUGGACUGAUACUGACGCUGAGGCGCGAAAGCGUGGGGAGCAAACAGGAUUAGAUA